CGGACGGGUGAGUAACGCGUAAAGAACUUGCCUCACAGUUAGGGACAACAUUUGGAAACGAAUGCUAAUACCUGAUAUUAUGAUUUUAGGGCAUCCUAAGAUUAUGAAAGCUAUAUGCGCUGUGAGAGAGCUUUGCGUCCCAUUAGCUAGUUGGAGAGGUAACGGCUCACCAAGGCGAUGAUGGGUAGCCGGCCUGAGAGGGUGAACGGCCACAAGGGGACUGAGACACGGCCCUU
rnacentral:rRNA from 1 species